rnacentral:rRNA from 1 species
UACGUAGGGUGCAAGCGUUUAAUCGGAAUUACUGGGCGUAAAGCGUGCGCAGGCGGUUGUGCAAGACAGAUGUGAAAUCCCCGGGCUCAACCUGGGAAUUGCAUUUGUGACUGCACGGCUAGAGUGUGUCAGAGGGGGGUAGAAUUCCACGUGUAGCAGUGAAAUGCGUAGAGAUGUGGAGGAAUACCGAUGGCGAAGGCAGCCCCCCUGGGAUAACACUGACGCUCA